AAACAAGGGCAAACCCGCCAAAAGGCGGUGACGCAAAGCAAUAGUGUCUAAACGGUUUUGACCGCAUGACUGACUGGCUGCA
rnacentral:ncRNA from 1 species